UAAUAUUAUGAUAAAAAAGCUCCCUCUUCUGGAAUGUUGUUGAGGACUCUUGCUGGCAGAAUCGAACCAAUUAUUUAAAUGGCCAUCACUGAGUAA